ensembl:snoRNA
AGUAUUUGUGAGCUGUUGAACUGCUGACCAAGGAUUUAAAGAUAGGCCCAAAAAUAAGCCCUAUCCUGCAACCCAUAACUCAUUGUUCAGAAAGAGUUUGAUACAUACAAGAAGGACUGUG